rnacentral:rRNA from 1 species
UGCGCAGGCGGACCUAUCAGUCAGUGGUGAAAUCCCGGGGCUCAACUCCGGAACUGCCAUUGAUACUGUAGGUCUUGAGUUUGGUUGAAGUGGGCGGAAUGUAGCAUGUAGCGGUGAAAUGCAUAGAUAUGCUACAGAACACCGAUCGCGAAGGCAGCUCACUAAGCCAAUACUGACGCUCAGGCACGAAAGCGUGGGGAGCGAACAGGAUUAGAUACCCUGGUAGUCC